GAACAUGGAAAGGAGGCAAAUCUAGUUUUGACACCUCAAUGAAGCGGCAAUAGAUACCUUGGGGACCUCAGGUCUUUGACUGUACCAAAGCCAAGAGAGGAAACAUUAUCAAGACAAUCAUUUCUUGAACCAGGUUGACUUAAAUCCUAUUGACUUGCCAAGUACAACUGGAAGAAUCAUUAAAGAUUAUCGAUGUUCAACCACUCACUGUUGAAGCACUAGUUUGCAUACAGAGUUGGAUUCGUGAUGAAGAUAUCUCAUGCGAAAGUUUUGAAGACAAGGAGGAAACUUCUGGUGACGAAUUCGCAUGAUUUAUAUUUCACUGUGCAUCGUUGGCAUCAACAAGAGCAUUGGAAGAUCCAGAAUCAUUAAUACAUGAUAUUUUUAAGCAUCUAUGCAACACUAUGUUUAUAGCAUACACUAUGCGUUAAUCUCCUUCAACAUAGUUGCCAUUAUGUUUUUGAUUUUGUAUAGCUUUAAAAUACCUGCUCAUUUGUACUCCCCGUCCAUGUAAGGUUAGAAACAAUGAAGGACUGCUCUUGUAAAUGGGAGUUUAUGUAAUGUAAUGUAAUGUGGUGCCCUGUAACUACG